rnacentral:lncRNA from 1 species
GGAGACUGUUGGAGGUAUGCCCUAGAGGCAAUCAUAGAGAUGAUGAUAUUCCAUUUGUAUCCAUGAUUUGUAUGUUGUGUUCAUUGAAUAUCCAUUGAGGCUACUUGAAUUGAUUUGCAAUUAUGUGAAUUGUAUGUGAGACUCUUUACUUGUAUGGUUAUUCUAAAGUUGUCCCUAGUCGGAGUUCAUGUGAGGACACACAUGAAUAUUAGACUAGCACAUGUAUUAGUUGAUGACUAUGUUUCACAAGUCAUGGACAUGGAGAUGUUGGACUAAUAAUGUGGACACAUGUGGAGACAUGUGCUAGGACUGACCCAACACGAGAAGUAGUUCUCUCUUUAAACAACAUAUACGAUUUGUCCUUAGACCUGAGACUGUCGCAU